rnacentral:rRNA from 1 species
UAAUACGGGGGGAGCGAGCGUUAUUCGGAUUUAUUGGGCGUAAAGGGUUCGUAGGCGGUCAGGUAAGUCAGGGGUGAAAUGUAACAGCUUAACUGUUAACUUGCCUUUGAAACUGCCUGACUUGAGUACAGGAGAGGAAAGCGGAAUUCUCGGUGUAGCGGUGAAAUGUGUGGAUAUCGAGAGGAACACCCGUGGCGAAAACGGCUUUCUGGCCUGAUACUGACGCUGAGGAACGAAAGCCAGGGGAGCGAACGGGAUUAGAUACCCCGGUAGUCCUGGCCGUAAACGAUGGGCACUAGGUGUGGGAGGUAUCGACCCCUUCCGUGCCGCAGCUAACGCAUUAAGUGCCCCGCCUGGGGAGUACGGUCGCAAGGCUG